GGGUCGUUAGCCAAGCGGUAAGGAAGCGGACUUUUAAUCCGUUUAUCGGAAGUUCGAAUCUUCCACGACCCACCA
rnacentral:tRNA from 1 species